rnacentral:rRNA from 1 species
GUUGGGUUAAGUCCCGCAACGAGCGCAACCCUUGAUCUUAGUUGCCAUCAUUUAGUUGGGCACUCUAAGGUGACUGCCGGUGACAAACCGGAGGAAGGUGGGGAUGACGUCAAAUCAUCAUGCCCCUUAUGACCUGGGCUACACACGUGCUACAAUGGACGAUACAAACGGUUGCCAACUCGCGAGAGGGAGCUAAUCCGAUAAAGUCGUUCUCAGUUCGGAUUGUAGGCUGCAACUCGCCUACAUGAAGCCGGAAUCGCUAGUAAUCGCGGAUCAGCAUGCCGCGGUGAAUACGUUCC